rnacentral:rRNA from 1 species
UACGUAGGGCGCAAGCGUUGUCCGGAAUUAUUGGGCGUAAAGAGCUCGUAGGCGGUUUGUCGCGUCUGCUGUGAAAACCCGAGGCUCAACCUCGGGCCUGCAGUGGGUACGGGGCAGACUAGAGUGUGGUAGGGGAGACUGGAAUUCCUGGUGUAGCGGUGGAAUGCGCAGAUAUCAGGAGGAACACCAAUGGCGAAGGCAGGUCUCUGGGCCACAACUGACGCUGGAGGAGCGAAA